GAGUUAACAACAAAUAAUUACCACUCAUAUUGACAAAUGAGGGUCAGAGCAUAAUUAUGAUAGCGCGGGUGGGUGAAAAAAAAAAAAGGAUGACAGUUUGGUCAGAUGACCGUGCAAAUUCGAUUCGUCACCGCAAUUAUUGUUUCGAGAAAUAUAUUAAGUGACCUGUUAUCAUUGGCGUGAUUCCAGACAGUACAUUGUGAUUGUGAAUUGUGUGCAAGUAGCAGGAGAAACGGGCUUGCGGAAACGCCCUUAUUGACGGGUGGUCAAGCUUAAAGGGCUGGAGACCAGCCUGCCCCGUGAUAGUCUUGCGCUUCAUAAAGCGAACUUUGAACCCGUGCCAUUUAGUGAGUGACCACCUGGUGUCUCGCCAUCUAGACAUAGCAACGGCCUGCCGACAUCUAGCCCGGGGUUCGGAAAUCGCGAAACGUCAUCCUUCUGCAGUGUCUUUGAACAUUUAUCGGUAAAGGGUAAAGGCCAAUACUUACGGCCAACCUGUAUUAAUUGGUGAGCUCCCUGUGUGACGUAAAUUGUUCAUUGCUUUGGUCAUAUUGUGUUACUAUCUUGGUCACACAGUGUUUACCACCGUUGUGGGGUUAUCCAGGGUUGUGAGCGAGAUUUAAUUUUAGUAAUUAGUUUUAGUUUAGUAAUUAGUUUUAUUUAAUAAAUUUAGUGAGUACCGUAUACUUGUUUAUCUUCUAACAGCCAGCCUACCAAGAACCCCGGUCAUUACAUUGGCGCCCACGGGUUAACUGGUUGGAAGAUAGACAAGCUCAUUGUAAAUUUAUGUAUGUAAGUUUUUUUUU